GGGACGUGGAGCGGUGCUGCCUCUUCUCCCUCUCAGCGUGAGACCUGCCAGGAAGGAUCUCAUUUCAGACGGAGGACGUUCUCCCUUGGUUCAUAAGAGGAAAAAAGCAGGACGUGACGCAGCCAGCUGCUUGUGGCGGGACAGGAUCUCAUUCAGCUCAGCCAGGCCCUGAGCAGAGCCAAUAAUGGCCACUGCAUAGAUUAGUAAUAAAGAUGUGGCCAACAAAGAAAAGCAUGCAGCGCAGAGGAGGGCAGUUGCCGUAGCAACCAUGUAACACAAUGAGAAGGAGAGGAGUCAGCCAUUAUGGGCAGAUUCUAUGAUUUAUGAAACCUUCAUUGCCUGGAGCUGGAAUAAAUGUCGUGCCUGAUUCAUGAGCAUCAUCACAAUUCAUCUUUCCAUCCCCCAACAUCUGCACCAAAGCCUACAGAUGGCAACAAAUGCCUGCGCUCAGGAAUCCAUGAUGUGCCAAGAGCUGUGGAGCAGAAAACGCUGCAGAAGAACACGCACACAAGCAAACGCGGACGCAAACCGGGGCUGUGCUUCAAGUUGUGGACUCCACAUUAGAAACAAAAAGCAGAUUAUGACAUGGGGGAAAUGAAAAGAAAUGUCUCAAACUGAUAGCGGAUAAAUAAAUCUCUUCUGUAAAUGCAGAGUAGUUGCCUGUUACUGUAUGAACCUAGUGGUGACUAAGUUGUGAUACAAGCCUCUCAUCUCUGCUACUCUCUAUUCAUCUUUGAGCCUGCUGCUUUCCUGUUCAUCACUACCUCACCGACCAUAUCACCAAGUCGCUCCCACUCUCUAGCUCUGUCCCUCUUUCUCUCUCGGGCUCUCUUGUUGUGCACUGAUGCGGUGAAUAGACCCUUGGCUUGGCUCCAGAUUCGGUGUCCUAAUCGACACGAGAGC